AAGUCGUAACAAGGUCUCCGUAGGUGAACCUGCGGAGGGAUCAUUACAGAGUUCAUGCCCUAACGGGUAGAUCUCCCACCCUAUGUUAUUAUUACUUUGUUGCUUUGGCGGGCCGUCAGGUCUCAGCCGGCCCUGACCUGCAUCCGGACCUCACGGCCUUGGGUUAAAGGCGGCCCCGCCCAGAGAAACCCCAAAACCCUGAAUAUUAGUGUCGUCUGAGUACUAUAUAAUAGUUAAAA
rnacentral:misc_RNA from 1 species